CCUACGGGAGGCAGCAGUAAGGAAUAUUGGUCAAUGGGCGCAAGCCUGAACCAGCCAUGCCGCGUGCAGGAAGACGGCCCUAUGGGUUGUAAACUGCUUUUGAACAAGAGAAAACCUCGGUACGUGUACCGAGCUGAUAGUAUUGUUAGAAUAAGCAUCGGCUAACUUCGUGCCAGCAGCCGCGGUAAGACGAAGGAUGCAAGCGUUAUCCGGAUUCAUUGGGUUUAAAGGGUGCGUAGGCGGCCUGAUAAGUCAGUGGUGAAAUCUCUCAGCUUAACUGAGAAACUGCCAUUGAUACUGUCGGGCUUGAGUACAGAUGAUGUGGGCGGAAUAUGACAUGUAGUGGUGAAAUACUUAGAUAUGUCAUAGAACACCGAUUGCGAAGGCAGCUCACAAAACUGUAACUGACGCUGAGGCACGAAAGUGCGGGGAUCAAACAGGAUUAGAUACCCUGGUAGUCCGCACCGUAAACGAUGAUUACUCGUUGUUGGCAAUAUGACCGUCAGCGACCAAGCGAAAGCGAUAAGAAUCCACCUGGGGAGUACGCCGGCAACGGUGAAACUCAAAUGAAUUGACGG
rnacentral:rRNA from 1 species